AUUGAACGCUGGCGGCAGGCCUAACACAUGCUAGUCGAACGAGUGGCGGACGGGUGAGUAAUGUCUGGGAAACUGCCUGAUGGAGGGGGAUAACUACUGGAAACGGUAGCUAAUACCGCAUACCAUCGGAUGUGCCCAGAUGGGAUUAGCUAGUAGGUGGGGUAAAGGCUCACCUAGGCGACGCUCCCUAGCUGGUCUGAGAUGAUGACCAUCGACACUGGAACUGAGACACGGACCAUACUCCUACGGGAUGCAGCAGUGGGGAAUAGGGCACAAUGGGCGCAAGCCGUAUGCAGCCAUGCCGCGUGUAUGAAGAAGGCCUUCGGGUUGUAAAGUACUUUCAGCGGGGAGGCGUUACCCGCAGAAGAAGCACCGGCUAACUCCGUGCCAGCAGCGGCGGUGAUUC
rnacentral:rRNA from 1 species